AUGCGAUACGUAAUGUGAAUUGCAGAAUUCAGUGAAUCAUCGAAUCUUUGAACGCAUCUUGCGCUCUCUGGUAUUCCGGAGAGCAUGUCUGUUUGAGUGUCAUGAAUUCUUCAACCCAACUGUUUCUUGUAAACAGCUGGUGUUUGGAUUCUGAGCGCUGCUGGCUUCGUGCCUAGCUCGUUCGUAAUACAUCAGCAUCCCUAAUACAAGUUUGGAUUGACUUGGCGUAAUAGACUAUUCGCUAAGGAUUCAAUGUUCUGCAUUGAGCCAACUUAAUUAAGGAAGCUUCUAAUUGAAAAGUCUACCUUUAGAUUAGAUCUCAAAUCAGGCAGGAUUACCCGCUGAACUUAA
rnacentral:misc_RNA from 1 species